rnacentral:rRNA from 1 species
CAGUAGCCGCGGGAAUACGAGGGGGGCAAGCGUUGUUCGGAUUUAUUGGGCGUAAAGGGUGCGUAGGCGGUUUGAUAAGUCAUCUGUGAAAUCUAUGGGCUCAACCCAUAGUCUGCAGGCGAAACUGUCGGGCUUGAGUAUUGGAGAGGUGAGUGGAAUUUCCGGUGUAGCGGUGAAAUGCGUAGAUAUCGGAAGGAACACCUGUGGCGAAAGCGGCUCACUGGACAAUAACUGACGCUGAGGCACGAAAGCUAGGGGAGCAAACAGGAUUAGAUACCCCCGUAGUCCCUGUCUCUUAUAC